GUUGAGCCAGAGCCAGCUAUGUCCACCCACCGUGCCGACAGUCUGGCUGCUCUUGAGCAUGAGCUGUCUCAUGCCAACAAAGAUGCUGGCUGUCUGGCUUCUCUCAAGGCUGAGCUGAUUAAUUCCACCAAUGCUACUGAUUGUCUGGCUUCUGUUGGGACUGAGACAACCAUGUCCACCCAGCCUGCUGACAGUUUGGCAGCUGUUGAGCCUGAACAUAAUAAUUCCACCAAUGCUGCUGACGGUCUGGACUCUAUUGAACAAGAGCCAGCUAUGCCCACCCACCGUUCUGACAGUCUGGCUGCUCUUGAGCAUGAGCUGUCUCAUGCCAAUAAAGCUGCUGACUGUCUGGCUUCUCUCAAGGCUGAGCCAACCAUGUCCACCCAGCCUGCUGACACUUUGGCAUCUGUUGAGCCUGAGCCUACUUUUUCCACCAAAGCUGCUGAUUGUCUGGCUACUGUUCAGCCUGAGCUAACUAGGUCAAACCACCCUGCUGACUGUCUGGAUUCUGUUCAGCCUGAGUCAUCUAUGUCCCCACACCCUGCUGACAGUUUGGUAGCUAUUGAGCCUGAACUGACUAAUUCCACCAAAGCUGCUGACUUUCUGGGUGCUGUUGAUCCCGAGUCAACCAAAUCCACCCACCCUGCUGACAGUAUGGCAGUUGAUGAGCCUGAGCUGCCUAAUUCCAACAUUGCUGCUGACUGUCUGGACGACCUUGAGCCUGAUACGACUAUUUCUACCAAUGCCGCUGACUGUCAGGCUGCUGUUGGGUCUGAGACAACCAUGUCCACCCAGCCUGCUGACAGUUUGGCAGCUGUUGAGCCUGAGCCGACUAAUUCCACCAAAGCUGCUGACUGUCUGGACUCUGCUGAGCCAGAGCCAACUAUGGCCACCCACCAUGCUGACAUUCUGACUGCUGUUGAGCCUGAACAUACUAAUUGCUCCAGUACUGCUGACUGUCUGCCUGCUGUUCAGCCUGAGUCCAGUAUGUCCACCCACCCUGCUGACAGUAUGGCUGCUAUUGAUGCUGAGCCUACAGAUCCUGCCAUUGUUGCUGACUGUCUGGCUGCUCUUGAACCUCGGCUGUCUGUUACAUGUGCUGCUGACAGUAGUGUGUUAGUUGAGAGUCAUGACUCAGGACCAGCUAGUCACAUUGGAUUGGAUUAUGUUGUUGAUUUACCUCUUUACAAGGAGAGUACAAGUGAAGAAGAAAUAUUUGAUUCUGCUACUUCAGAUGAGAAAUCUUCUUUUACCCCUGACGUAGAAGAAGGUCUGCCUGCUACUCAGGGUGCUGAGGAUAUUUUUCAUGCUUCCGCACGAGCUGAACCAAUAAACCACAGCUUGAACCUUCUCAGGGAGAGUGGAUAUCUUCGGGCAACAGAGAUACCACGCAUACCUUUUUUGCUCUUCAUAUGGCUUAUAUCCUCACUUUUAUCCAUCAUAACAUGGAUGAAAAUCCAAAUUCAACAAGCAUGGCAUGAAGAAAAUGGCCAAGGAGCUCCCACUAACAAGAGAGUCGGACCAGUGGCUGCGGCUCCUGAUCCCUAGACCCUUGAUGCUCCUCCAGGAUCGAAUGGAAUAUCAAAACAUAGUCUGUGUGGGAGAAUUGAUCAUAUAUAUAAAUUUUAAAAUAAAAUGUUCAAUCUGAUUGUAGACUGAAGUAAAAAUUGAUUGUUUCAUUGGAGUCUCAGUUGUGCCAUGUGAUGCUUCCUGGAAACUUUUUUCAAUUAUUUUCAAUUUUAAUAUUUACUUAUUUACUUUACAUCCUGCUCACUGCCCAUUCCCGGUGAGCCUCUCCCAUAAUUGUUCCCUUGUGCCCCACUCUCCUUCUCCUCUCAGUGGGUAGGGGCCAUUUGGUUAUCUUCCCA
ensembl:lncRNA